GACCCUCUUCAGCUCCCAUAGCCUUAUAAAAUGCACAUGAGGAUUAAGCAUGAAGGCCAAAUGGUGUCUACUAAAAUAACUAUUUUGGGGAUUGAGAGGAACCUACUCAGAAGGAAAAUCAAGGAAGCAUUAUUUAUAGAGAAACUGAGACUUGACAUUAAUGCAUGGGAGGCGUUGGCUGACGCCAUAAAGUUUAUUAGCCUCUGAGCAGAAUCAGUCAUAGGCUUCCUCAUGAUGUCUCAGGUUUGGACCUGUCUCCAGAUCCAAAUCAUGCACCAUGCUUGACUGCCUUAGAGAAAUGACCACCCCUGGAUUCUCCCUGGAACUAGUUGCUUUUCUGGUUCCCUGGUUUGCGAGUGGCAACACUUCCCUCUUCUCCAUCCUGUCCUUCUGCUUGGUUCCUGGAAAGAAGAACCCCAGCUUCGCUGGUCUGUGACCAUAAAAAUGAAUGAUUGAUUGAUUGAAGUACCCCAGCGCAGCCCAUCCUGCAAGUGUGACUGACACACCAACAGAUUAUAGGUAUUACUAAUACUUUUAAUGUCUAAUUAAUGCUUGUAAUGCUUGGUUUUAAAUUACUUUAAUGUUUUAAUCAUUGUAAUUUUGUUUAAUUUGUAUUGUUUUUAUUGUACACUGCCCAGAGAUACAGGUUUUGGGCGGUAUAUAAAUGUGUUGAAUGAAUGAACUCUCUCCUUCCCUCCCUUCUCUUCCUCCUAAGUCUAAACUCUGCACUCCAGGUCCCCUCUCUCUGGCAAGCCUUAAGCUGAUUUAAUUGUAAUUCAGACCUUUAAGUUAAAAUGCCUCUUUGUGAAUCUCUAACUGAUAAGUCAAGUUUUUAUUGCCUUUCAUCACCUGCCUAUUGUUCAUUUCCUGUACCCCAAUGAUCCUUAAAUACAU